CCCUUAGAUGUCCGGAGCCGCACGCGCGCUACACUGAAGGAAUCAGCGUGGCUUUCUCCCUGACCCGAAAGGGUUGGGAAACCCGUUGAAUCUCCUUCGUGAUAGGGAUUGGGGCUUGAAAUUGUUCCCCAUGAACGAGGAAUUCCCAGUAAGCGCGAGUCAUAAGCUCGCGUUGAUUACGUCCCUGCCCUUUGUACACACCGCCCGUCGCUACUACCGAUUGAACGGUUUAGUGAGGGCCUCGGAUUGGUCUCGGCCCGCUCUUUACCGGGCGGCGCCGUUGGUCGAGAAGACGCUCGAACUUGUUCGUUUAGAGGAAGUAAAAGUCGUAACA
rnacentral:rRNA from 1 species